UACGGAGGGUGCAAGCGUUCAUCGGAAUUACUGGGCGUAAAGCGCACGCAGGUGGCUGAGUCAGUCGAUUGUGAAAGCCCUGGGCUUAACCUGGGAAUUGCAGUCGAUACUACUCGGCUCGAGUAUGGGAGAGGGCAGUGGAAUUCCCGGUGUAGCGGUGAAAUGCGUAGAUAUCGGGAGGAACAUCAGUGGCGAAGGCGGCUGCCUGGCCCAAUACUGACACUCAGGUGCGACAGCGUGGGGAGCAAACAGG
rnacentral:rRNA from 1 species